rnacentral:rRNA from 1 species
UACGUAGGGGGCAAGCGUUGUCCGGAUUUAUUGGGCGUAAAGAGCGUGUAGGCGGUCAGGUAGGUCCGUUGUGAAAACUCGAGGCUCAACCUCGAGACGCCGAUGGAAACCACCUGGCUAGAGUCCGGAAGAGGAGAGUGGAAUUCCUGGUGUAGCGGUGAAAUGCGCAGAUAUCAGGAAGAACACCCGUGGCUAAGGCGGCUCUCUAGUACGGUACUGACGCUGAGACGCGAAAGCGUGGGGAGCGAACAGG